CCCCCACGGUACUACCAUAGCCUAGCAUUCAGCUACAAUCGAUGGCAAUUUUGGUAGCAAGGUAAUGGCGAGGGUGAACUAAACUACAUGGGAUUUAUAGCUAGCAUAGAAGUACGAGUAAUAUUCCUGAUGCAUCUAAUAAAACAUCCAGUGCAUAGUAAAAAAUAUUUAGGAGAAUGAUCAAAGUGAACUUGCCUUGUCCAAGGUUGUGAUAGUUCUCGCACUCUUCGCAACAACAAUGAUUACACUCCACACAAUCUAAAAUAAAAAAAACAUACACACAAUAAACACAACAUUCAAUACAAAAGCCAUGCCAUGAUGCAUAUGCCAUGAUGAUGCACGCAAG
rnacentral:lncRNA from 1 species